rnacentral:rRNA from 1 species
UACGUAGGGUGCGAGCGUUAAUCGGAAUUACUGGGCGUAAAGCGUGCGUAGGCGGUUCGUUAAGUGCGUCGUGAAAGCCCCGGGCUCAACCUGGGAAUGGCGAUGGAAACUGGCGGGCUGGAGUAUGGCAGAGGGGGGUGGAAUUCCGCGUGUAGCAGUGAAAUGCGUAGAGAUGCGGAGGAACACCGAUGGCGAAGGCAGCCCCCUGGGCCAAUACUGACGCUCAGGCACGAAAGCGUGGGGAGCAAAAGGG